rnacentral:lncRNA from 1 species
GGUGUUUAUGUUUAUAUAUGUAUAUAUAUAUUUCAUAUCGUUUAAAUUAAACUAUACAUCAUAUGAAAAUACAUACUUAUAAUUUGAUAUCUGCGUUGAACAUAUAUUGAAAAGUUAAUAUUUUAGUUUUGAAAUCUUCAUUUUUUUUAAAUGAUUAUUAAUUAUUGAAGCCACUAAACAUUCCACAUUAAAAAAAAUCGUUGGUGUAAAAUUUUGUUACACAAAUAUGUAAAUAAUCAUAAAAUCAUAUGAGUAGAAACCUCAUUUAA